rnacentral:rRNA from 1 species
UACGGAGGGGGCGAGCGUUUAUUCGGAAUUAUUGGGCGUAAAGGGCGCGUAGGCGGCCCGGUAAGUCAAAGGUGAAAUCCCUCGGCUCAACUGAGGAACUGCCUUUGAAACUGUCGGGCUUGAGGCCGGGAGGGGGUAGCGGAAUUCCCAGUGUAGCGGUGAAAUGCGUAGAUAUUGGGAGGAACACCGGUGGCGAAGGCGGCUACCUGGACCGGUUCUGACGCUGAGGCGCGAAAGCCAGGGGAGCAAACGGG